AGUGAACGCUGGCGGUAGGCCUAACACAUGCCAGUCGAACGGCAGCACAGUAAGAGCUUGCUCUUACGGGUGGCGAGUGGCGGACGGGUGAGGAAUACAUCGGAAUCUACUUUUUCGUGGGGGAUAACGUAGGGAAACUUACGCUAAUACCGCAUACGACCUACGGGUGAAAGCAGGGGAUCUUCGGACCUUGCGCGAUUGAAUGAGCCGAUGUCGGAUUAGCUAGUUGGCGGGGUAAAGGCCCACCAAGGCGACGAUCCGUAGCUGGUCUGAGAGGAUGGUCAGCCACACUGGAAGUGAGACACGGUCCAGACUCCUGAGAGAGGCAGCAGUGGGGAAUAUUAGACAAUGGGCGCAAGCCUGAUCCAGCCAUACCGCGUGGGUGAAGAAGGCCUUCGGGUUGUAAAGCCCUUUUGUUGGGAAAGAAAAGCAGCAGGUUAAUACCCCGCUGUUCUGACGGUACCCAAAGAAUAAGCACCGGCUAACUUCGUG
rnacentral:rRNA from 1 species